UACGGGGGGGGCAAGCGUUGUUCGGAAUUACUGGGCGUAAAGGGCUCGUAGGUGGCCAACUAAGUCAGACGUGAAAUCCCUCGGCUUAACCGGGGAACUGCGUCUGAUACUGGAUGGCUUGAGGUUGGGAGAGGGAUGCGGAAUUCCAGGUGUAGCGGUGAAAUGCGUAGAUAUCUGGAGGAACACCGGUGGCGAAGGCGGCAUCCUGGACCGGUAUUGACACUGAGGCGCGAAAGCCAGGGGGGCAAACGGG
rnacentral:rRNA from 1 species